UACGUAGGGGGCAAGCGUUGUCCGGAUUCAUUGGACGUAAAGAGCGUGUAGGCGGCCAGGUAGGUCGGUUGUGAAAACUGGAGGCUCAACCUUCAGAGGUCGACCGAAACCAUCUGGCUAGAGUCCGGGAGAGGAGAGUGGAAUUCCUGGUGUAGCGGUGAAAUGCGCAGAUAUCAGGAAGAACACCCGUGGCGAAAGCGGCUCUCUGGAACGGUACUGACGCUGAGACGGCGAAAGCGUGGGGAGCGAACAGG
rnacentral:rRNA from 1 species